rnacentral:lncRNA from 1 species
UCCCAUUUUAUAAGGGGUCAUUAGAGGGAUCAUGUCUACUUCUUUCUCUACAACAACUUUAUUUUCCAUUGGUGUAAGCUUUCUUGUUAAUAAUUAUGGAUAUAUUUAUAACAAAGGAGAAAUUGGUGAAUAAUGGACACAAGCCAACCAAAUGAUAACUUGUACCAAGGCGUGUGGUACCCGAGCCAACCGAUGAUAUUUCAUAUCAGGCGUAGUAUUCAAGACAAUAAUUUUUUAAAAAGCUUGUUUUUCUAAAACAUAAAUAUGUUCUUACAUUUUCCACUCUGUGUCUUUAUUUGAUAGGAAAGAUGAUAAUGUAUUUUGUGGUAAUGAAUGAGUG